AGGAUAAACGCUGGCGGCGUGCCUAACACAUGCAAGUCGAACGCGCUUUCGGGCUUCGGUGCGAGAGCGAGUGGCGGACGGGUGAGUAACACAUGGGUACCUGCCUUUCAGUGAGGGAUACCGGCGAGAAAUCGCCGACAAUACCGCAUAGGCUUGUGGGAACACAAGCAAAGUGGCGCAAGCCACGCUGGAAGAUGGGCCUGUGGCCGAUUAGCUAGUUGGGGGGGUAAUGGCCUCCCAAGGCGACGAUCGGUAGCUGGUCUGAGAGGACGAUCAGCCACACUGGGAUUGAGAACGGCCCAGACUCCUACGGGGGGCAGCAGUGAGGAAUUUUCCGCAAUGGACGAAAGUCUGACGGAGCAACGCCGCGUGCAGGAGGAAGGUUUCGGAUCGUAAACUGCUUUUCUCGGGGACGAGCAAGGACGGUACCCGAGGAAGAAGCCCGGCUAACUACGCGCCAGCAGCCGC
rnacentral:rRNA from 1 species